rnacentral:RNase_P_RNA from 1 species
CGGAAAAGGCAUGGUAAACCCCAUCCGGAGCAAGACCAAAUAGGAGAACGUUUAAGGGCGGCCCGCCUGAUGUUCUCGGGUAGUGUCGCUAGAGGCGGCGGGCAACUGCCGUCCCAGAUGAAUGAUCAUUGCCGUGUCGAGGGUAACCGAAACGCGGAACAGAACUCGGCUUAUGAUCUUCUCUUGUGC